rnacentral:tRNA from 1 species
CCGAGGGUAGCUCAGCGGUUAGAGCAGGGGACUCAUAAUCUUCUGGUCGUGGGUUCGAAUCCCACCCCUCGGA